rnacentral:rRNA from 1 species
UCGCCUGUUUAUCAAAAACAUGGUCUUUUGUUUAUAUAAAAGAUCUGGCCUGCCCAAUGAUUAUUUUAAUGGCUGCAGUAUUUUGACUGUACAAAGGUAGCAUAAUCACUUGGCUCUUAAUUGGAGUCUGGAAUGAAUGGUUGGAUGAGAAAUUUACUUUCUUUAUUUUAAAAAAAUAAUUUAAUUUUUAUAUUAAAAAGUAUAAAUUUUAUUAUAGGACGAGAAGACCCUAUAGAACUUUAUUUUUAUUAAAUAUUUAUAUUUUUGUAAAUGAUUAUUAUAUAUCCGUAUAAGAAUUUUGUUGGGGUGAUAAAAAAAAUUUUUUAACUUUUUUUAUUUUUUUCAUUUAUAUAUGAAUUUUUGAUCCUUUAUUAAGGAAUAAAAGAAUAAGUUACCUUAGGGAUAACAGCGUUAUUAUUUUAGAUAGUUCAUAUUGAUAAAAUAGUUUGCGACCUCGAUGUUGGAUUAAAAUUAGUUUCAGGAGUAGAAAAUUGAAAACUAGGUCUGUUCGACCUUUAAAUUUUUACAUGAUCUGAGUUCAAACCGGAGA